rnacentral:antisense_RNA from 3 species
CUUCACCGAGCCCAGCCACAGCGGCUCGCGGCCGGUGCGCUCCUGCCCGUAGGUGGCGAGGAGGGCCUGGGCCUC